GACGAACGCUGGCGGCGUGCUUAACACAUGCAAGUCGAACGGAAAGGCCCUGCUUUUGUGGGGUGCUCGAGUGGCGAACGGGUGAGUAACACGUGAGUAACCUGCCCUUGACUUUGGGAUAACUUCAGGAAACUGGGGCUAAUACCGGAUAGGAGCUCCUGCGGCAUGGUGGGGGUUGGAAAGGUUCGGCGGUUGGGGAUGGACUCGCGGCUUAUCAGCUUGUUGGUGGGGUAGUGGCUUACCAAGGCUUUGACGGGUAGCCGGCCUGAGAGGGUGACCGGCCCCAUUGGGACUGCGAUACGGCCCAGACUCCUACGGGAGGCAGCAGUGGGGAAUAUUGCACAAUGGGCGGAAGCCUGAUGCAGUAACGCCGCGUGCGGGAUGACGGCCUUCGGGUUGUAAACCGCUUUCGCCUGUGACGAAGCGUGAGUGACGGUAAUGGGUAAAGAAGCACCGGCUAACUACGUG
rnacentral:rRNA from 1 species